UACAGAGGUCUCAAGCGUUGUUCGGAUUCAUUGGGCGUAAAGGGUGCGUAGGUGGCGCCGUAAGUCGGGUGUGAAAUUUCGGAGCUUAACUCCGAAACUGCAUUCGAUACUGCGGUGCUUGAGGACUGGAGAGGAGACUGGAAUUCAUGGUGUAGCAGUGAAAUGCGUAGAGAUCAUGAGGAAGACCAGCGGCGAAGGCGGGUCUCUGGACAGUUCCUGACACUGAGGCACGAAGGCCAGGGGAGCAAACGGG
rnacentral:rRNA from 1 species